GGGGAUGUAUUGCAUUGACGUGAUGUGCUCGUUACCAACUGCAGACCGUCUUUGACCAAAAAGACGUUAAACAGGGUCAAAAACACAAUUGGCAAUCUUUCAGCCAAACGUGUUAAAGACGCCGUCGCAGAUGCAGCUUCACAGUUGCUAGACACUGUUGGUGGUUCAAACUUUAACACCCAAUAUCAAACAGCUCAGCUGUUUGCAUAACGGCAUUCACUCGUUCAGUCUCACUGGCGCUAACGAGUGGGUGGAAACACAGUCAGUGUGACCGAUUGUCCGCUCCUGUCCGGACUUUCAUAAGCCUUUAGACAGGGGUUGCUCACGAACUGGUUUGUCCGUUCACCACCGUGGCAAUAUCAAAAACGUACUAUGUCUGUAGAUGUUGGAACAGUCUCAUUGCGGACAGGAGGUCGCACCUCCUCAUCUCCACAA
rnacentral:tmRNA from 1 species